GUGGUAGAAUUCUCGCCUGCCACG
rnacentral:piRNA from 3 species